CGGCUCCUACGGGGCGCAGCAGUGGGGGAUAUUGCACAAUGGGGGGAACCCUGAUGCAGCGACGCCGCGUGGGUGAAGGAGUGCUUCGGCAUGUAAAGCCCUAUCGGCAGGGAAGAAGCAAGACGGUACCUGACUAAGAAGCCCCGGCUAACUACGUGCCAGCAGCCGCGGUAAUACGUAGGGGGCGAGCGUUAUCCGGAUUCACUGGGUGUAAAGGGAGCGUAGACGGCCAAGCAAGACAGGGGUGAAAGCCCGGGGCACAACCCCGGGACAGCCCUUGGAAAUGCAU
rnacentral:rRNA from 1 species